rnacentral:rRNA from 1 species
CAAUAGCGUAUAUUUAAGUUGUUGCAGUUAAAAAGCUCGUAGUCGGAUUUUGGCUGAGAACGAUCGGUCCGCCGUUAGGUGUGCACUGAUUGGUCUCAGCUUCCUGGUGAGGAGGUGUGCUUCACGGCCACUUAGUCACCGUGGUUACUUUGAAAAAAUUAGAGUGUUCAAAGCGGGCUUACGCUUGAAUAUAUUAGCAUGGAAUAACACCAUAGGACUCCUGUCCUAUCUCGUUGGUCACGGGACGGGAGUAAUGAUUAAGAGGAACAGUUGGGGGCAUUCGUAUUUCAUUGUCAGAGGUGAAAUUCUUGGAUUUAUGAAAGACGAACUUCUGCGAAAGCAUUUGCCAAGGAUGUUUUCAUUGA